rnacentral:rRNA from 1 species
AGAGUUUGAUCCUGGCUCAGAUUGAACGCUGGCGGCAUGCCUAACACAUGCAAGUCGAACGGCAGCACAGGUAGCAAUACCGGGUGGCGAGUGGCGGACGGGUGAGCAAAGCAUCGGGAUCUACCCUGACGUGGGGGAUAACCUCGGGAAACCGGGACUAAUACCGCAUACGUCCUACGGGAGAAAGCGGGGGACCUUCGGGCCUCGCGCGGCAGGACGAACCGAUGUGCGAUUAGCUAGUUGGCGGGGUAACGGCCCACCAAGGCGACGAUCGCUAGCUGGUCUGAGAGGAUGAUCAGCCACACUGGGACUGAGACACGGCCCAGACUCCUACGGGAGGCAGCAGUGGGGAAUAUUGGACAAUGGGCGCAAGCCUGAUCCAGCAAUGCCGCGUGUGUGAAGAAGGCCUUCGGGGUUGUAAGCACUUUUAUCAGGAGCGAAAUACCACGGGGUUAUACCCUAUGGGGGCUGACGGUACCUGAGGGAUAACCACCGGGCUACUUUCGGGGCAGCAGGCCGCGGGUAUUACGAAGGGGUGCAAGCCGUUAUCCGGAAUUACUGGGCCGUAAAGGGGGCCGUAGGCGGUUGGUUAA